AACGUCUAAACACAAGCUAAGGGGAUAAAAUACGGGUACUCCUACCACCCCCAACCAAACCUCCACAACUACAACCUGCAUUAAAAUCAACCCAAGCUAACAGCUCACAGUUUACAUAGCACGUAGCUUAACAACAACACUUAGACAAAUUACAUAUCCUCAACAACAACACUUCAACAAAUUACAUAUCCUCAACAAGAAUACUUCAACAAAUUACAUAUCCUCAAUAAGAAGCUCAAUAUUAAUCAAUCACAAGUUCCGCAAAAAGGCAAUCAGAAGAUCAGCAAAAUACGAUAUCAAGUUCACUAAUGAUAAGUAUGUGCAAUGCAAUGUCAUGUAUAAUGAUGCAUGUCUGACCUAGUGAUACACACCCGCUGUCUCUCAGUCCGGGACCCAUGGGGGACAUAUCUAUCCAUGCAUUUGUCGCGGCGCACGAUACGACCCUCGAUAAUAAUAACCAUCGCGGCGCGCGAUACGUCCCUCUAAAUAUAGUGUCCAUCGCGGCGCGUGAUACGUCCCUCGAAAUGGUACAUCCUCUUAAGUACCCAUUCUUUCUUAAUGCACAUAACACUUGUCACAACAAAUGCCUCAGAAUGAUGCAGAUGACAAGUUCACACAUAUAAUGAGGAGAUGACCAUUUUCAUAACAUCGCACAGUUAACAAUCACACAAACAUGAAGUUACAUCAACAAUGAUUCAACAAGCCUUCAACCCUUUCUCAACACAACAGACAUAAACAAUUAAUCACAUUGCCUUUUGUUAUCCCCAUUCUUCUUAUUAUUAAAAUAAAUCAAUGUGGACAAGUCAACCCAUCACCAAUCCCGUUACUCCCAACAUAUACCACAAGGACAUACACGCAUUUCAUACACUUAACAAGAGUUUAGAAAUCCACUUGCCUCAAAUAGUCGAACAAUGACUCCAAAACUUGAGCCUUCCUCUUUUUGUUGACUUCCAAACCAAUAAAAUCUAUUCAAAUAAAUAACCACGAUAUGAUUUCGAAACUAACAACAUUAAUAUUGCUAUAUCUCUAGCUUAGACCCAAAACUCAUCCAAAUUUAUAAUAAAAUUUCUAAAUUUUUAUUCCAACCAAUUGAUCAAAUCUCAUAUUUUCUGAAUUUCAAGUUUAGGGUUAAAUCUUAAUUCUCCGAAUAACAUAAUUAUAAUGAUUUUUAUAUAUCAUAAUGCACCCACUAUUUAACACAUAUCUCAAUAUAUUAAAACUUGAAUCCUAACAUGAUAAUCAAAUGAAAAUAAUUAAAGCCGAAACUAACUGCCCAACACAUCAAUGGCGGACUACAAAACUAUCUGCUGAAACCACUUAUUUUCAAUGUUCCAAUUCAUAUUUAUCGUUCCACUAUUAAUAAUCAUAAUCUUGGAGUAAUCAUUGUCCAAUGAUUAGGACUAAUCAUUGUCCAAUGAUUGAACCAUAAUACUUAUACAUAUUUAUAACCCCAAGUUCACAUAUUAGUAUAAAUUAUACACGUUUUAACCUAAAAAUCUAUUCCCAGUUACACAAAAAUUUAAUAGAAAGGAUAAGAAUAAUUACCUUGAUAUUUCGAGAUAAAAAUAUCGUUGUUUCGCCUCCUUUUUCCUUUUUUUUCUUCCUUUCUUUUCUUUUCCUUAUCUGCGUAUCUUUUUUUUUCCACAGAUCGUUCUUUCUUUUUCUUUUUUUCUCACAAGCCGUUUGCGGCUUCACAGUUAGGGCACUUUGCCCUUUUUAAUUAUUUUAUUUUAUUUUAUUUUAUUAUUUGAUUUUCUUUUUUUUUCCUUUUUCAUUAUUCUUAGCAAUAAAAUAAUUCUUUAUUAAAUCUAAAAAUUAUGUCACUCAUUCUUAUAAGUCAUAUAAAUUAUUUACAAAAUCUACUAAAAAGGUUAAUAAAAAAAUAAUAGUUGGAAUUUCUAAAACGACUAAGAGGGUCGUUACAUUAUCCACCACUAAAAAUCAUGUUCGUCCUCGAACAUAAAAUAGGAGAAGGAAGAAUUAUUGACGGUAUCAAAAAUCUUGCAUGAUCUUCCAGAGUCGUUGUUCAUCUCUCCAUGAAAGCUUAUCUUUAACACCAUUUUAUCAAGACCAACUACCAAAAAUUGAACUACAGAGAAUUUGACAGAUCUACAUAUCAGUAGUGAUUGCCAAGCUACAUACUUAACCCAUGAACCGAAUCUAAACUGAAACCCCUUGGACCAUAACACAAUAAUCAUUACAAAUCUGUUCUCACAUAGCAAAGAUAACGUUCUAUUGAUACUAGCUACAACCAAAAGUGAACCUGAACCAAUCAUCACAUACUCUUAGUGCACAAACCAUCACACAUCUUAUAACGAUUCCCUUUUCAGAACACAAUCUUUUUACAAGUUUAAGUUAUAAAAAUCUGAUCUUUAGACUUCGAGUAUCCAUCAAGGGAGAAUCAAAACAUACAUAAUCCAAAUAAGAACAAGAUAAAGUAAGCACCCUACAAAUGGUACACGCUAGGAUGCAGAACCUUUUACAACAUUGUCGGAUAACCAUAACUAUUCAUGAAAGCUCUUUUGUAAGUUCCCAUAAGCAAGGUUGUGCAUAUAAAAACAGUGAUAUAUUUCUAAUUUUUCAAACAACAUCAAAUAUUUCAUAACUGAAAUGAACAAGUCUAACCAAGGAUCCUACCCAAUCAAGAAGACAUAAGAGGAUCGGUAUAUCCGAUCCACCACUAGGAAUUCACCCAUAGAUGUAAAAAAAACGUGGGCAUAUGCAAUGAAUCAUACUCCAAAUCAUGUCCGAAACGAAAUAGGUGGUCAACUUAAGAAUAUACGGAAUCAAGGUCGAAUAACACUAGAUACUUUCUCCAUAAUUCGCAUAUCAAUAUUUUCAUUCAUCUGACUACAUCCCUCAAUUUAUUUAUUUUUUUAUUUAAUUUUUUUUUCCACCCAAAAUCAACCAGUCUGAUCUCCAUUACAAUUUUACACAUGUUGGAUUUGUCAAACCUUGCAUACUUCUCAUAGUACUCCAUCAAAGCCAACACUAUUAAUAUUAACAAAUAUCAUAACCACACCAACCAUUUACCUUACUUUCACACAGUCAUUAGUAUCACAUUCUCAUUAGCAAGCACAUUGUAGUCUCCAAGACUUUGAACCAUGGUUUCUUAUCUUUCCAUUUAAGCGUCCCAUAAUAGAUAUAAGUCACACUUAAUGUCAACUUCACCUAAACUUUCACAUACCAUUUUCAACCACCAUCAUUUGCCUCAUGCAAUAACUCCAAGAAACCCUUGAUCACUCCAAUAUUUAUGUAUACUAUAAUCUCAUAACCUCUACUCAUCACCAUAUGCCUAUGUAACACAUUAUAACAAUCUAUUUUGUCUCAUCAACAAAGUACUUUUAAUCCCCCCGAUCCUCAUUAACCAUGUAAAAUUGUAGGUCCACACUAUUUAACAUCCAUUUAUUACCUAUCACGUUCUGAACAAUCUACCUCGACAUAACCAUAUAUAAUCUUCCACACGUCAUUUAUUGUAACCCAAACCAAAACUUAAUAUUUAGAAAAGUUAAUAAUAAACCCAUAGUCACAUCUCAUAGUCAUAUCUAAACUCAAAGGCGAAAUCACUACAACCAUCAUCUCCGAAUACAGUGUUUGUACGAGAGGUCUUAUUGUUCCUUUGCCUUUCUUAAAAUCUUUCCAUGACGAAAAUUUCAAAUAACUUUAACUUUUCAAUACACCAUAAUUUUUUUUUCCUUUUUGCUAACUCAUUUACUAGUCUUAUAUUUUUUACCAGCAAUAUGGGAAACCUUAGGUAUAACAAUCAAAAGUAACCAAAUGUACUACUCAAAUUUUAAGUCCUCCUAUAUGCUUCAUACUCAAUGUGAUAAACCAUUUCUUACCUUACUAAUUCAUUCCUUGAUAAGAUACACUAUCAAAAAUCUAAACUCACCACGUAAACUUGAAGUUUUGAUCCCAACCAUGUAAUACAAUUUCAUUGUCUAUCAAUAUUAGCUCACAUCUGAAAUUUUUAUAAAUUUAUGUAUCAUAGCUUACCAUAUAUCGCCUCUCUAGUGACCUUAUAAUAUCCUUUGCUUAAAAAUCCAAUGGUACCCAUUACCAAAUUCGAAACUAUAAAAGAACUUAUCACCAUACUCGAGUCGAACUGUGUAGGAUUCUUUCUCAAUUCUUACCUAAUAUCUAUAUUAUUAUUAUUAUUUUAUCAAUCUAAUGAACGUAUGACACUAUUACCAUAAUCAAAAUGAAACAGAUGAAAUCGCGUAUCCUUGAACUAAAUUCUCAACUCUCUAAAGAUAUAUCUUUGUCCUUUAUAAUUAUAGUAAAUAUCCUUUUUCUUGAUUGUCUCUUUCCAAUGACUAAAAUACUUCCCACUAAUUCUUUUCCAUUUAUGACUCUAGCUUCUUUCAAUUCUAUUCAAGCGAAAUUUUCAACACAUCAUACAACUUUUCACACAACUACAUUGUUCAUCAAAUAGUGAAAAACCACAACCUUAGAUGCUCGCAAGUCGUUAUUACCAUAAAAACUCGUUUAACCCUCAAUUCUUAUUUUAUGAUUUAGUCUCAAUCGCAAUCCAUCACCAACUCCUAUUACCAUCAUGCUUAGUUAGCUCUUGUUAUCACCCCAAAGUCAACUAUUUCAUCAAUAUGAAUCCUUAAACCCAGUUAUACCAAUCCAAUCCAAAGAACUAACCCACUUUUAUAUGCACUUCCUUACUAAAACUCUUAAUUGUCUUCACAUAAGUAUACUCUUUAGGACUUCCUUUACCCAUAUGCUUGUCAUUCAAUAUUGAUCCAAUUUCUUAGACAUUACAAUGAAAUCACCACUCAUUUAAAAAUUCAUAAAAUACAUUUCACAAUCUGAACAUAUCAAUAUCAUACCAAAGAUCCACUACUAAAAACUUCCUUCUAAAUAAUGUUUAACACAUCCACCCGUACCAACAAACUAGUUAGGUUCUCAAAUAUGAGUUCAACACCAAAUCUUAUCAUAUGAGCAUGUAUACCAUAGAUAACUCCUUAAGUAGUUAAUAUUUGCACUUAACAAUCAACAUGUCCGUUUUCAUGUACCACUAGUAACACAUCGUGAAAAUUCAUUACAUCCACCACUAGAACAUGUCAUAUCUACUGGGAAGAUCAUUUCCAAAUAGGUCACAUACUUUAUCCAUCAAAUAACUAUAAAAUAUUAUCAGAUUAGUUUUGUAUCUAACCCAAGCUAUAUGUAUUCUUUCGUAAGCAAGGUCAAUAUCAAAAGUAACACACUCCAUAAUUCUAACCAAGUACCCAUCAGUACUAUUGUAAUAGUCGUAUCAUGACUUUCUUUAGUAUACACUCAAUCUGUGAAACCACAGAAGGGAUUCUGACCUGAAUUGGUGCAACAUCAUUUGCUAAGCAACCCAUUAAUAGUAUGACAACUAUAUCAAUUGUAUUACACUAUUUAUUAUCUAGUCAAUUCUUCAAACAUUUAACUUCUAAUUGUUGAACCACUCCAAAUUUUGCUUAUACCAGAUAAGUACUAUACUUAUUAUUAUUAUUAUUUUACAACGAUAACUAACCAUACUCAACUCUUUCAAAUAUGAUCACGCAUUCGUUUCAUAAGUAUAUCAUUUCCACCUUAAUACCAGAUCUAACAUCAAACCAAUACACGACAUGCCAAUUAUUCACAAAAAGAACUACGCACGAGUCAUCACAUAAAUGAGAGCGAAUGGAGUGAAGCGAUAAGAAUCAAAAUGGGACCAAGUACGCACAAUAGAGAUCCAAGAAGUGAAGAUAUUUCCUAAAAGUCACUACAACCUCUCGAAGAAAGGUACAGGCGUCUCCGUACCAAUCAUCGAGACUCUAUUUAGACUCGACUUGUACACACGUGAGACCUAUGAGCCUGGGGCUCUGAUACCAUUUUGUCACGACCCAAAAAUGGACGUGAUGGCACUCGUCUUAUCCCACCAAGACAAGUCAGCCUAAAACGCAACCAUUACAAUAAAGUGCGGAAAUAAAAUAUAAGUAACUUAAUAAAACCCCCAAAACCUGGUAGUCACGUGUAAAAGCCUCUAAAGUAUUACAAUUGAUUCAAAAGAAAAAAUCAAGUCUCAAAUAAACUUGUUUCUAGAAUAGAACAAAAUCAUAAUUAAGGAGAAGAAAGUCUGCUGCGAUGGAAACAGCUACCUGACAAAUCUCCAAAAAACCUGAGACAAGGAGAAGGGAAAUAUCACAAUGUCCGGGCUAGUAACCUGCAAAAAAAAUUUGUAGUAGAAAGGGUUGAGUACCAAACCACACGGUACCCAGCAAGUAAAACGUCUAAACACAAGGUAAGGGGAUAAAAUACGGGUACUCCUACCACCCCCAACCAAACCUCCACAACUACAACCUGCAUUAAAAUCAACCCAACCUAACAGCUCACAGUUUACAUAGCACGUAGCUCAACAACAACACUUAGACAAAUUACAUAUCCUCAACAACAACACUUCAACAAAUUACAUAUCCUCAACAAGAAUACUUCAACAAAUUACAU
rnacentral:lncRNA from 1 species